rnacentral:rRNA from 1 species
AUACGUAGGGAGCGAGCGUUGUCCGGAAUUACUGGGCGUAAAGGGCGCGUAGGCGGCGCUUCAAGUCGUCUGUCAAAUGGGAGGGCUUAACCCUUUUUCGCAGACGAAACUGGAGAGCUUGAGAAGCAGAGAGGCAAACAGAAUUCCGGGUGUAGCGGUGAAAUGCGUAGAUAUCAGGAAGAAUACCAGUGGCGAAGGCGGUUUGCUGGCUGCAUACUGACGCUGAAGCGCGAAAGCCAGGGGAGCAAACGGGAUUAGAUACCCCGGUAGUCCUGGCAGUAAACGAUGUAUGCUGGGUGUGAGACUAGCGAUAGUUUCGUGCCGAAGUUAACGCGAUAAGCAUACCGCCUGGGGAGUACGGUCGCAAGAUUGAAACUCAAAGGAAUUGACGGGG